GCCUGGCGCAGUGGUGGGUGCCCGUAGUCCAGCCGCCCGGGAGGCUGAGGCAGGGGGGUUGUUUGAGGCCAGCCUGGCAACAAAGCAAGACCUCCUCCC
rnacentral:sRNA from 1 species